rnacentral:rRNA from 1 species
UGUGCCAGCAGCCGCGGUAAUACGGAGGAUCCAAGCGUUAUCCGGAUUUAUUGGGUUUAAAGGGAGCGUAGAUGGAUGUUUAAGUCAGUUGUGAAAGUUCGGGGCUCAACCCCGGAAUUGCAGUUGAUACUGGAUAUCUUGAGUACAGUUGAGGUAGGCGGAAUUCGUGGUGUAGCGGUGAAAUGCUUAGAUAUCACGAAGAACUCCGAUUGCGAAGGCAGCUUACUAAGCUGUAACUGACAUUGAAGCUCGAAAGUGUGGGUAUCAAACAGGAUUAGAUACCCUGGUAGUCCACACGGUAAACUAUGGAUACUCGCUGUAGGCGAUACACAGUCUGCGGCCAAGCGAAAGCAUUAAGUAUCCCACCUGGGGAGUACGCCGGCAACGGUGAAACUCAAAGGAAUUGACGGGGGCCCGCACAAGCGGAGGAACAUGUGGUUUAAUUCGAUGAUACGCGAGGAACCUUACCCGGGCUUAAAUUGCAACUGAAUAGCUGAGAGAUCAGUUAGCUAGCAAUAGCAGUUGUGAAGGUGCUGCAUGGUUGUCGUCAGCUCGUGCCGUGAGGUGUCGGCUUAAGUGCCAUAACGAGCGCAACCCUUGUCGAUAGUUACUAACAGUUAAUGCUGAGGACUCUAUCGAGACUGCCAUCGUAAGAUGCGAGGAAGGUGGGGAUGACGUCAAAUCAGCACGGCCCUUACGUCCGGGGCUACACACGUGUUACAAUGGAGGGUACAGAAGGCAGCUACACGGCGACGUGAUGCUAAUCCCGAAAACCUUUCUCAGUUCGGAUCGAAGUCUGCAACCCGACUUCGUGAAGCUGGAUUCGCUAGUAAUCGCGCAUCAGCCAUGGCGCGGUGAAUACGUUCCCGGGCCUUGUACACACCGCCCGUCAAGCCAUGGAAGCCGGGGGUACCUGAAGUACGUAACCGCAAGGAGCGUCCUAGGGUAAAACUGGUAACUGGGGCUAAGUCGUAACAAGGUAACCA